rnacentral:rRNA from 1 species
CCUACGGGAGGCAGCAGUGGGGAAUAUUGGACAAUGGGCGAAAGCCUGAUCCAGCCAUGCCGCGUGUGUGAUGAAGGCCUUAGGGUUGUAAAGCUCUUUUACCCGGGAUGAUAAUGACAGUACCGGGAGAAUAAGCUCCGGCUAACUCCGUGCCAGCAGCCGCGGUAAU